rnacentral:misc_RNA from 1 species
AACAUGGAAGAUCUGACUGGUGGGGGUCUCAACAUUGUGUGUGGCACCCUAGAUAUUUUAUAGCAUAUUAAUUUUAAUCAUCUAAGGGUUAAGGGAGUAAACAAGAUUCUGGUUAAAUAAAUUUAGAGUCUUGUACGUGGAAUAUGGUCUUGCCCAUAUGCAUUCCGGUUUUGUUUUUUUUCCUUCCAUUCCCCUUAUCGAAGGCUGGGUGAUUUUGUGAGAGGUCAUUUUCUGUUUCUCAUUGUGUUUCUUGCUGCUUUUGCACUGGAUGAUUGAAGCUUGUUACUUUCUUUUUAUGGCCAUAUGUAAUAAUUGUAAAUAUUUUUAUUAUGUUCAUACAUGCAGAGGUGAUAACAUCAGCAG